GGACUACACGGGUUUCUAAUCCUGUUUGCUCCCCUUGCUCUCGCGCCUCAGCGUCAGGUAUAAACUAGAAAACCGCUUUCGCCACAGGUGUUCUUCCACAUAUCUACGCAUUUCACCGCUACACGUGGAAUUCCGUUUUCUCCGUCAACCCUCUAGAAUUGCAGUUUCAAAUGCAGCACUGAAGUUGAGCUUCAGUAUUUCACAUCUGACUUGCAGUCCCGCCUACGCGCCCUUUACGCCCAAUAAUUCCGAUUAAUGCUUGCACUCUCCGUAUUACCGCGGCGGCUGGCAC
rnacentral:rRNA from 1 species